rnacentral:rRNA from 1 species
UGAGUAACGCGUGAGGAACCUGCCUUUCGGAGGGGGACAACAGUUGGAAACGACUGCUAAUACCGCAUGAUACAUUUGGGCCGCAUGGUCUGAAUGUCAAAGAUUUAUCGCCGAAAGAUGGCCUCGCGCCUGAUUAGCUAGUUGGUGGGGUAACGGCCCACCAAGGCGACGAUCAGUAGCCGGACUGAGAGGUUGGCCGGCCACAUUGGGACUGAGAUACGGCCCAGACUCCUACGGAAGGCAGCAG